rnacentral:rRNA from 1 species
UGGGGAAUUUUGGACAAUGGGCGAAAGCCUGAUCCAGCAAUGCCGCGUGUGUGAAGAAGGCCUUCGGGUUGUAAAGCACUUUUGUCCGGAAAGAAAUCCUUGGCUCUAAUACAGUCGGGGGAUGACGGUACCGGAAGAAUAAGCACCGGCUAACUACGUGCCAGCAGCCGCGGUAAUACGUAGGGUGCAAGCGUUAAUCGGAAUUACUGGGCGUAAAGCGUGCGCAGGCGGUUUGCUAAGACCGAUGUGAAAUCCCCGGGCUCAACCUGGGAACUGCAUUGGUGACUGGCAGGCUAGAGUAUGGCAGAGGGGGGUAGAAUUCCACGUGUAGCAGCGAAAUGCGUAGAGAUGUGGAGGAAUACCGAUGGCGAAGGCAGCCCCCUGGGCCAAUACUGACGCUCAUGCACGAAAGCGUGGGGAGCAAACAGGAUUAGAUACCCUGGUAGUCCACGCCCUAAACGAUGUCAACUAGUUGUUGGGGAUUCAUUUCCUUAGUAACGUAGCUAACGCGUGAAGUUGACCGCCUGGGGAGUACGGUCGCAAGAUUAAAACUUAAAGGAAUUG